AAAUAUCCCAUACGAGGAUCAACCAUAUGACACUCUUCACACACAUCCUGAAGUGUCGAAGGAACCAUACAAAUCCAAAUUUUAUGUCGGUUGUUCUGCAAAUGACAUGGCAGUCACAAUUUAAAAAAAAAAUCAAAAAAAUCAAAAGAAAUCAAAGAAAAAGCCCGCUAAGUCGAACACCUUAAAAGGAGACUUAGGCAAAAACUGGGGCAAUCCCGAUGGAUUAGAGCUUCAACAAGCGGUCCAUGCAAAAAUUAGGGAUCAAAACAAAAAUUGAAAGAGACAAUGAAAG
rnacentral:lncRNA from 1 species